GCGUGCGGGAAGAAGGCCUUCGGGUUGUAAACCGCUUUUGUCAGGGAAGAAAUGCCAUGCGCGAAUAACGUGUGGUGAUGACGGUACCUGAAGAAUAAGCACCGGCUAACUACGUGCCAGCAGCCGCGGUAAUACGUAGGGUGCAAGCGUUAAUCGGAAUUACUGGGCGUAAAGCGUGCGCAGGCGGUUGUGCAAGACAGAUGUGAAAUCCCCGGGCUUAACCUGGGAACUGCAUUUGUGACUGUACGGCUGGAGUGCGGCAGAGGGGGAUGGAAUUCCGCGUGUAGCAGUGAAAUGCGU
rnacentral:rRNA from 1 species